AUUUUCGAAGUGGCACCACUGCCACAGGGUAGCUGUCCGCAGUCCGCGUAUUAUACGGGGAUACAGCAUUCCAUAUAGACAUGUCUAUGCGUUGGACAAGACAGAUCAACCUUAUUUUGGUCAUGCAUUGGCUGUUGUUCGAUAACUGUUGCUUUUUAAAAAUAUGUAUGCAUGCAACAAUUCCAAUGAAUAAAAAUAAAAAUGCGCACAGCUCUUA